rnacentral:rRNA from 1 species
ACAUACGGAACAUGUCCUGUAGUGGGGGAUAGCCCGGCGAAAGCCGGAUUAAUACCGCAACGAUCUACGGAUGAAAGCGGGGGACCUUCGGGCCUCGCGCUAUAGGGUUGGCCGAUGGCUGAUUAGCUAGUUGGUGGGGUAAAGGCCCACCAAGGCGACGAUCAGUAGCUGGUCUGAGAGGACGACCAGCCACACUGGGACUGAGACACGGCCCAGACUCCUACGGGAGGCAGCAGUGGGGAAUUUUGGACAAUGGGCGAAAGCCUGAUCCAGCAAUGCCGCGUGUGUGAAGAAGGCCUUCGGGUUGUAAAGCACUUUUGUCCGGAAAGAAAUCCUGAGGGCUAAUAUCCUUCGGGGAUGACGGUACCGGAAGAAUAAGCACCGGCUAACUACGUGCCAGCAGCCGCGGUAAUACGUAGGGUGCGAGCGUUAAUCGGAAUUACUGGGCGUAAAGCGUGCGCAGGCGGUUUGUUAAGACCGAUGUGAAAUCCCCGGGCUCAACCUGGGAACUGCAUUGGUGACUGGCAAGCUAGAGUAUGGCAGAGGGGGGUAGAAUUCCACGUGUAGCAGUGAAUGCGUAGAGAUGUGGAGGAAUACCGAUGGCGAAGGCAGCCCCCUGGGCCAAUACUGACGCUCAUGCACGAGAGCGUGGGGAGCAAACAGGAUUAGAUACCCUGGUAGUCCACGCCCUAAACGAUGUCAACUAGUUGUUGGGGAUUCAUUUCCUUAGUAACGUAGCUAACGCGUGAAGUUGACCGCCUGGGGAGUACGGUCGCAAGAUUAAAACUCAAAGGAAUUGACGGGGACCCGCACCAGCGGUGGAUGAUGUGGAUUAAUUCGAUGCAACGCGAAAAACCUUACCUACCCUUGACAUGGUCGGAACCUUGGAGAGAUCUGAGGGUGCUCGAAAGAGAACCGAUACACAGGUGCUGCAUGGCGUCGUCAGCUCGUGUCGUGAGAUGUUGGGUUAAGUCCCGCAACGAGCGCAACCCUUGUCCUUAGUUGCUACGCAAGAGCACUCUAGGGAGACAGCCGGUGACAAACCGGAGGAAGGUGGGGAUGACGUCAAGUCCUCAUGGCCCUUAUGGGUAGGGCUUCACACGUCAUACAAUGGUCGGAACAGAGGGUCGCCAACCCGCGAGGGGGAGCUAAUCCCAGAAAACCGAUCGUAGUCCGGAUUGCACUCUGCAACUCGAGUGCAUGAAGCGGAAUCGCUGUAAUCGCGGAUCAGCCAUGCCGCGGUGAAUACGUUCCCGGGUC